CUAUCGAUUUUCCUGCUGUGAUUUCUACCUGAUUCGUACCGAUUUAAAGUCCGCGAUAGGUUCUCGGCUUAUAUGACUUGUAUGGUACGAAUCGAGCAUAUUUCCAGAGACAAUUUUUAAGACAACUGGAAGUGCUAGACCAAAAUUUCGGAUUUUUUUGUAGCGCGCUUUCGUCCUUAUGUUGGACGUUCGAAGAUCAAAAGAGUGAUCAAGUUGCGUUUGUUUAAG
rnacentral:lncRNA from 1 species